UGAAUAUUAUAAUCUUGGUUUUAUUAAGAUUAACAGAUAGAUUCCAUUUUUCACAAAAUAUAUUUAAUUUAUCUAAAGCAUUUUGUAGGCCAGAUGCAGAUUCUGAUAUUACUACUAAAUCGUCUGCAUAGAAGAAGACAAGACACUUGUUUAUUAUCUAGGCAUGCCGGAUCACAUUUGUGGUCAAACAUUUCAACCAGUUCAUUUAUAUACAAUGAAAAUAAUGUAGGGC
rnacentral:lncRNA from 1 species